GAUGAACGCUGGCGGCGUGCCUAAUACAUGCAAGUCGAGCGAACGGACGAGAAGCUUGCUUCUCUGAUGUUAGCGGCGGACGGGUGAGUAACACGUGGAUAACCUACCUAUAAGACUGGGAUAACUUCGGGAAACCGGAGCUAAUACCGGAUGAUAUUUUGAACCGCAUGGUUCAAUAGUGAAAGACGGUCUUGCUGUCACUUAUAGAUGGAUCCGCGCUGCAUUAGCUAGUUGGUAAGGUAACGGCUUACCAAGGCAACGAUGCAUAGCCGACCUGAGAGGGUGAUCGGCCACACUGGAACUGAGACACGGUCCAGACUCCUACGGGAGGCAGCAGUAGGGAAUCUUCCGCAAUGGGCGAAAGCCUGACGGAGCAACGCCGCGUGAGUGAUGAAGGUCUUCGGAUCGUAAAACUCUGUUAUUAGGGAAGAACAAAUGUGUAAGUAACUAUGCACGUCUUGACGGUACCUAAUCAGAAAGCCACGGCUAACUACGUG
rnacentral:rRNA from 1 species